rnacentral:rRNA from 1 species
AACNCUGGCGGCAGGCCUAACACAUGCAAGUCGAGCCGGAAACGAAGAGUAGCUUGCUACUCUGGCGUCGAGCGGCGGACGGGUGAGUAAUGCUUGGGAACAUGCCUUGAGGUGGGGGACAACAGUUGGAAACGACUGCUAAUACCGCAUAAUGUCUACGGACCAAAGGGGGCUUCGGCUCUCGCCUUUAGAUUGGCCCAAGUGGGAUUAGCUAGUUGGUGAGGUAAUGGCUCACCAAGGCGACGAUCCCUAGCUGGUUUGAGAGGAUGAUCAGCCACACUGGGACUGAGACACGGCCCAGACUCCUACGGGAGGCAGCAGUGGGGAAUAUUGCACAAUGGGCGCAAGCCUGAUGCAGCCAUGCCGCGUGUGUGAAGAAGGCCUUCGGGUUGUAAAGCACUUUCAGUCAGGAGGAAAGGUUAGUAGUUAAUACCUGCUAGCUGUGACGUUACUGACAGAAGAAGCACCGGCUAACUCCGUGCCAGCAGCCGCGGUAAUACGGAGGGUGCGAGCGUUAAUCGGAAUUACUGGGCGUAAAGCGUACGCAGGCGGUUUGUUAAGCGAGAUGUGAAAGCCCCGGGCUCAACCUGGGAACUGCAUUUCCAACUGGCAAACUAGAGUGUGAUAGAAGGGUGGUAGAAUUUCAGGUGUACCGGGUGAAAUGCGUANANAUCUNAAGGAAUACCGAUGGCGAAGGCAGCCNCCCUGGGUCAACACUGACGCUCAUGUNCCAAAACGUG